UCCACUCCUUACGGGGGAGACAGUCAUGAGACGUGAGUAUAAGACCUGAGUGUAAAGACCUUAGGGUGAAGCAAUUGGAGGGCAAGCUUUGGUGCCAGCAGCCGCGGUAACUCCAACUCCAAGAGUGUCUAUGGUGGAUGCUGCAGUUAAAGGGUCCGUAGUCGUGAAUGCAAUUAAAUGUCGUUGUUCAAUAGCGAUGAGUUUGCUAAUGUUUGCGGAACGGAUAGGGAGUGUAGUAUAGACUGGCGAAGAAUGAAAUCUCAAGACCCAGUUUGGACUAACGGAGGCGAAGGCGACACUCUUAGACGUAUCUUAGGAUCAAGGACGAAGGCAGGAGUAUCGAAAGUGAUUAGACACCGCUGUAGUUCCUGCAGUAAACUAUGCCGACAGCCUGUGUGUGAGAAUACGUGGGCGGGAGAAAUCUUAGUGUUCGGGCUCUGGGGAUAGUACGCUCGCAAGGGUGAAACUUAAAGCGAAAUUGACGGAAGGACACUACCAGGAGUGGAUUGUGCUGCUUAAUUUAACUCAACGCGGGAAAACUUACCAGGGUCAAGUCAUUCGUUGAUCGAAUACGUGAGAAUGGCAGGAGUGG
rnacentral:rRNA from 1 species